rnacentral:misc_RNA from 1 species
GAUGAAGAACGUAGCGAAAUGCGAUAAGUAAUGUGAAUUGCAGAAUUCAGUGAAUCAUCGAAUCUUUGAACGCACAUUGCGCCCCGCGGUAUUCCGAGGGGCAUGCCUGUUCGAGCGUCAUUUCAAACCUCAAGCUCCGCUUGGUGUUGGGUCCGGCCGCCUUCCCGGGCGGCCGACCUGAAAGUCGGCGGCGAGGCUGUCUAGCUUCAGGCGUAGUAGAACAUUUCGUCUCGCCUUGCUAGCCUAGGCUGCGCUCGCCGGAUAACCUUCACCCACAAGGUUGACCUCGGAUCAGGUAGGGAUACCCGCUGAACUUAAGCAUAUCAAUAAGCGGAGGA